rnacentral:rRNA from 1 species
UACGUAGGGUGCGAGCGUUAAUCGGAAUUACUGGGCGUAAAGCGCACGUAGGCGGCUUUCUAAGUCGGGGGUGAAAUCCUGGAGCUCAACUCCAGAACUGCCUUCGAUACUGGAGAGCUCGAGUCCGGGAGAGGUGAGUGGAACUGCGAGUGUAGAGGUGAAAUUCGUAGAAUAUUCGCAAGAACACCAGUGGCGAAGGCGGCUCACUGG